rnacentral:rRNA from 1 species
GACGAACGCUGGCGGUGUGCUUAACACAUGCAAGUCGAACGGUAAGGCCCUUUCGGGGGUACUCGAGUGGCGAACGGGUGAGUAACACGUGAGUAACCUGCCCUCAUCUCUGGGAUAACAGUCGGAAACGGUUGCUAAUACUGGAUAUGAGCUUGCAAGGAAUCUUGUGGGUUGGAAAGAUUUUUUUGGUUGGGGAUGGACUCGCGGCCUAUCAGCUUGUUGGUGAGGUAGUGGCUCACCAAGGCUUCGACGGGUAGCCGGCCUGAGAGGGCGACCGGCCACAUUGGGACUGAGAUACGGCCCAAACUCCUACGGGAGGCAGCAGUGGGGAAUAUUGCACAAUGGACGGAAGUCUGAUGCAGCAACGCCGCGUGCGGGAUGACGGCCUUCGGGUUGUAAACCGCUUUCAAUUGUGACGAAGCUUUUUGUGACGGUAGCAGUAGAAGAAGCACCGGCUAACUACGUG